rnacentral:rRNA from 1 species
CAAGUCGAGCGAGAACCAGUCCUUCGGGACUGGGGACAGCGGCGAACGGGUGAGUAUCACGUGGGUAAUCUGCCCUCGGCACCGGGAUAGCCCGGGGAAACCCGGAUUAAUACCGGAUAGCCUCUCGAGCCUUCGGGCUCGUCAGAAAAGGUGGCUUCGGCUUCCGGCUGAGGAUGAGCCCGCGGCGGAUUAGCUUGUUGGCGGGGUAAUGGCCCACCAAGGCGACGAUCCGUAGCUGGUCUGAGAGGACGAUCAGCCACACUGGGACUGAGACACGGCCCAGACUCCUACGGGAGGCAGCAGUGGGGAAUCUUGCGCAAUGGGCGAAAGCCUGACGCAGCGACGCCGCGUGCGGGAAGAAGGCCUUCGGGUUGUAAACCGCUUUCAGGAGGGACGAAGCCACUCGGGUUAAUAGCCCAGAGGGUGACGGUACCUCCAGAAGAAGCCCCGGCUAACUACGUGCCAGCAGCCGCGGUAAUACGUAGGGGGCAAGCGUUGUCCGGAUUUAUUGGGCGUAAAGAGCGUGUAGGCGGCCAGGUAGGUCAGCUGUGAAAACUCGAGGCUCAACCUCGAGAUGUCGGCUGAAACCAUCUGGCUAGAGUCCGGAAGAGGAGAAUGGAAUUCCCGGUGUAGCGGUGAAAUGCGCAGAUAUCGGGAAGAACACCCGUGGCGAAGGCGGUUCUCUGGGACGGUACUGACGCUGAGACGCGAAAGCGUGGGGAGCGAACAGGAUUAGAUACCCUGGUAGUCCACGCCGUAAACGAUGGGAACUAGGUGUGGGCGGUGUCGACUCCGUCCGUGCCGAAGCUAACGCAUUAAGU